rnacentral:rRNA from 1 species
AUGAACGCUGGCGGCGUGCCUCAUACAUGCCAGUCGAGCGAACAGACGAGGAGCUUGCUCCUCUGACGUUAGCGGCGGACGGGUGAGUAACACGUGGAUAACCUACCUAUAAGACUGGGAUAACUUCGGGAAACCGGAGCUAAUACCGGAUAAUAUAUUGAACCGCAUGGUUCAAUAGUGAAAGACGGUUUUGCUGUCACUUAUAGAUGGAUCCGCGCCGCAUUAGCUAGUUGGUAAGGUAACGGCUUACCAAGGCAACGAUGCGUAGCCGACCUGAGAGGGUGAUCGGCCACACUGGAACUGAGACACGGUCCAGACUCCUACGGGAGGCAGCAGUAGGGAAUCUUCCGCAAUGGGCGAAAGCUUGACGGAGCAACGCCGCGUGAGUGAUGAAGGUCUUCGGAUCGUAAAACUCUGUUAUUAGGGAAGAACAAAUGUGUAAGUAACUAUGCACGUCUUGACGGUACCUAAUCAGAAAGCCACGGCUAACUACGUG